rnacentral:rRNA from 1 species
AUUGACGCUGGCGGCAGGCCUAACACAUGCAAGUCGAGCGAGUGGCGGACGGGUGAGUAAUGUAUGGGGAACUGCCCGAUAGAGGGGGAUAACUACUGGAAACGGUGGCUAAUACCGCAUACCAUCGGAUGAACCCAGAUGGGAUUAGCUAGUAGGUGGGGUAAAGGCUCACCUAGGCGACGAUCCCUAGCUGGUCUGAGAGGAUGAUCAGCCACACUGGAACUGAGACACGGCCCAGACUCCUACGGGAGGCAGCAGUGGGGAAUCUUGGGCAAUGGGCGAAAGUCUGACCGAGCAACGCCGCGUGAGUGAAGAAGGUUUUCGGAUCGUAAAACUCUUUUGUUAGGGAAGCGGUAUCUAACCAGAAAGCCACGGCUAACUACGUGCCAGCAGCCGCGGUAAUAC